GACGAACCGAGCGAACGUUGUUCGGAUUUACUGGGCGUAAAGGGCGCGUAGGCGGCCACCGCAAGUCGACUGUGAAAUCUCCGGGCUUAACCCGGAAAGGUCAGCCGAUACUGCGGGGCUAGAGUGCAGAAGGGGCAACUGGAAUUCUCGGUGUAGCGGUGAAAUGCGUAGAUAUCGAGAGGAACACCUGCGGCGAAGGCGGGUUGCUGGGCUGACACUGACGCUGACAGCGCGAAAGCUAGGGGAGCGAACGGG
rnacentral:rRNA from 1 species